GAUAAUUUCGUUUUCGUUAUCGUUAUACCGCGCAAUAUUUAGGUAGAUCGUAGAUACUCGUAUACGAAUUUUGCGCGUUAAAGCGAUCUGUAGUCACAGCAAGACUUCAUUGACAAUAUUCAGCCAUAGCAUUGACUGUUUUUUCUUCUCUAUUUUAAUCGUCACUUCAAUGUUUGUGUCCGAUAAUGUGUGUGUGUUCAUAUAAUAAUGAUAUUAUUCUUAUUAUCAUAAUAUCAUUAUCAUCAUUAUUCACGGUGGUAUUUUGGUUUUCUAUUUAAGUAGUCUCGGUAACGUGUCCAACGAUCCGUGCGGUGUGCACACGACAAGGCCCGUCUCGUAUAUGCAUCGCGGUGUAGACUGUACACAUAUUAUAUAUAAAUAGUGUAGCGACUAGGAGUACGCGAUUAACCCAUUAGCAGCACUCUUCGGUACAAUUUAUCGCGGCAAUUAUCCCCUCGUCGGCAUCACACAUAAUACACACUCACACACACUUAGAGUUAUUUCGGAAAUAAUAUACACCCCUACGCACCUCCACAACACAUUCGUCUAAAAAGCGUACUCACGGUGCACUUAACAUAUACUCUCACACACAAACACUGUAUAAUAUACAUCUAAAAUGCACCGUGUUCAGGAUGGUCCAUCGAGUUUUCUCAUUUUCCUAAGGUUUGUCUAAUGGGAAUAAGGAGAAUAAUGGUGGUCCACUUUGUCAGUUUGUCACCCUGUGAUUACAAACGUUUCACUUAUUCCGGUUAACGAUUAGUUAGACACAUGCUUGCCAUGCUUCUUGCGCCGAUUUCAAACCCGGAAGCCGCCAGUUGACAUCCGUCCGAACACUUUUACUCUCCAUCGUCUAUGCUAUAAAGUCUUCCUUCGGCAAUCAAAAUUCCCUAAUCGGCUUUGCGAUAACGUGGAUGAUCAAGAACGUUCAAUCCUCUCUUUCUUAUUAUGCCGAUAAAUGCGACAAGCUGGGCUUUUAUUCCAUGUCCGGUCGACAGUGUUUUUCUGCUCAUUGGUGCCUAUGCACAACGGCCCGAACGUGAACACCCUUUUUUAAACGUGUUCAAUAAGCUUGGAAAUGCCACGAGCCCACGAAUAAUAUUGUUCAAAACUGUUAGCUGACCGUCGGAGAAGAAGAAAAACAAUAUUUUCAGCGGAUCUAAUGGGUACAUAUAGGGCUAUAAUCUGUCCCGGUCGAGUGCAUUUAUACAGUCGUUUUCUUGCAGCAGAUCGUAUAAUAUUAUAUUAUAUUGUACAACAAAUAAUUUUAACAUUAUAAACAUUUUUCAGGAGGUACACUUACGUAGUCCAUCUUAGUAAAGAUCUUAGUCAAUCUCUUAGUAAUCUAUACGGUUUUGUGUCUAUAUAUUCUUAUAGUAUAUACAUUAUUCACUUUCAGGAAUAAAAAUGUUCGCGUUUGUGACUCUACUAUACAUUAAGCGAUUAAGAAAUAACGAUAUUGAAGAGUACAACGACCUCAAUUGUCUUUUUCCCGUUUUUCUGGAUAAUGAGAAAAAAUAUUUAAAACUUGAAAAUUGUUUACGAUUUGUAUGAACUGUCCAAUUUAUAUUAAUUUCAGACUAAUAUAAUACUUGUUGUUCCAAAAAACCCUUACUCGCCAAUUUCUGAAAGAUGAUUUAUUAUUGGCAUUCAACGAUUAUAAAAAUAUUUAGGUUAUGUAAUGAUUAUAAUGAAUAUAAAAAUCAACUUGUUCGCAAAAGCUUGUAUAAAAAUACAUUUCUAGACAGUACCUUUUAGCUAUUUACAGUUUUUUAAAUUGCCGUUUUUAAAAGUCCGUUGUGUAUAAUUUGCAAAAGUCCAUUCAGAAUAUUGAAAAAUAGUUGUCAGCUACAAUACUAUAUAAACCUAUAUAAUAUCCACAAACCGCGCAACCGUCCCACAAGAAUGUUAAGUACUACUAUACAGUUUAUACCCAUGUAUGCUUGUUAUAUAAAAUGAUAACAAUAUAACACAUAUAUAAUAUAUUAUGCGCGGUCCAAAUAAUGCCUCUGCCACGACUGCCGGAACCACCACCUAUAAAUCAUCGACGAUAGAGGGAUUUUUGUAAUAAUAAUAAUAUUAUAAUAUAUACCAUCGUCGGGUGAGUAGGGGCAACGUAAAAAGGUGAUUAUUUCCGAUGCGCAAGUAUAAAUUAUAUAAUAAUAAUAAUAUAUUGUGUGUGUGUGUUUUUUUUUUGUUGUCGUCGUCGUCGUCGUCGUCGUCGAAGGGUUCGCUCCAUUAGUUGAAAUAAGAAUGCUAUCGCUCGUCGUGUUUAUAUACUUUAUAAACUAUAGAGUGAGUGAGUAUGUGUGCGUUUGAGAGAGAGAAAGAGAAAGAGAGAAAAGCGACCUCAGCAUAGCCGACAUCUGCAUAAUAAUAACAGUAAUAGUGUGCAUAGAGAAGAGAGAAACGACGAAAAGGGUUAAAAUAAACAUAGCACUGACGGGCUGCCGAUAUCGUGGGAUUUCGGUCAGGUGUAAACAACGACGUGGAUGCUGCGUGGCCGCAAGGUAUAGGACGACGACGACUAUACGCGGUCGUGUUACUCCCUUACAUCGACCCCAUUAACCACCGACGACUGUUUUUUUUUUACUUUUGAUAUUCUUUUUCAUUUUACCCUCCACACCGCUUCAACAAAUUAUUAUUAUUUAAAGAUAUACUCUAUGGGUAUGUGUGUAAUGUAUAUCAAUAUUUAAAUGUAAAUUACUAAACAUAUAUUAUAUAGAUGAGACAGAUGAGUAAUAGUUUAAUGUUUGAUGUAUCGAUUCUCACCAACACCGCGAUGAUAUUGCAGUGUGAUUUCUAGCGGUUUUCGUUUUCUAGUGGUUUGAAGCAGGCGCGAUCUUUUUUUUCAUUAAAAUUAUUAUAUCAAUUAACGCCCAUUUAAAGUAAUAUUUUGUCUGUUAUUACUGAUUUGUAAGUUCUAAUGUCAACCGCGAGAAUUUUAAACUUAUCACGUCUACACCAUAAAUUGGAAUGUCAGGAAGCUACUGUUCCAACUAAAACAGAUGCAAUUCGAAAAACUCUUAAUACACGAUUUUAUUACUAUAAAAUAUAGUAUUUUCCACUAUAAUAUUAUGUUAAUAAUUUUUAUUCGAGAUCUAAAACUUGUCUUCUAUGUACUAUUUAUUACUAUUAUUUAUACGAUAUAUGAGCUUAUUGGACGGAAUCGAUUAAUUCGAUAACUAUUUUCCGUGGAAAUGUUUGAUUUAUUUUUAAGAGAAAUUAAAAUUAUAAAAGGAUUCAAUAUUUUUCGAACACCAAUGAAGUGAGUAAUGUGCUUAUAGACGUAUUUCGUAUAUGACAAUUAUAAUAAUGUUAUAUUAUAAUUUAUAACGCCUAUAAUAUAUUUAAAAAAUACUAUAAUUAUUUUAUUUUAAGCCCUUUUAAAUUUUUUAACACAUGAAGCAUAUGAGUAACAAUUAUUCAUCUUUGAAUAUAGAAUGUUGAAUAAUUUAUUUAUUUUAAUGCACAACUAAAAAAUUGUUUGUAUGUUCCGCAUCUCUUUAAUAUAUUAUAAGUAUAUAUUAUUGUGUACAAUUGAGCGUGGUAUUUGGUAUCUGCACUGCAGCAAAGUAUAUUGUUUUAGUUGUAUUUUAUUUGAUAUUAUUUUAGUCCAAAAAUGGCAUAUCCUAUUACAAAUUGUCUCAACUAAAUACAAAAUGAAACACUAUCGACUUAUGUGCCUUAAUAUAUACGUAUAUACAAUAUAUAUAUAGAGGUGCCUAUAUUUACUGAAACGUGUGCGUAAUAUACACGUAAAGCAGAUCUAAUGACGAUCAAAACUUUUCUACGUGCAUAUAUUGAUAAGGGGUGAAAUAAUUUCUUUAAAAUGCAAAACAAAGAAUUUAGUUUUAAAACUAAGUUAUUUUUCACAUUGUUACACUUAUAUCAUAUUAUUUUUUUUUUUUUUUAAUUUUUUAAUUUUUUUUUUUAUUUAGAAUAAUAAGACAUUCCUAGCCUAUAAGGCUAUCUACAUCUAUGGAUACUUAGUAACAUUAAUUUUUGACUAUUUUAACAUGAUAAUAGUUAAGUAGUAAUAGCGAUAAUAAGUAAUAACAAUAGUGACAAACAAUGGUAAUAAGUUAAGAAUGAUCAGACAUGUAGACAAUAAUGACAUAUCAUAUUAUAAUAUUGUAUAUUUUUACUGUGUGUUCUGUAUGUCGGCUAUAAUAUAUAGAUCAUCCCAUGAUGUAAUAAUACUAAAAUGAAUUAUUAAAGACAAUAAAUAUUUUAAUAUUUAUGUUCAUAAAAUUAAUUUUUAUGUAUGAAUUAGU